UACGAAGGGGGCUAGCGUUGCUCGGAAUUACUGGGCGUAAAGCGCACGUAGGCGGGUUCUUAAGUCGGUGGUGAAAUCCUGGAGCUCAACUCCAGAACUGCCUUCGAAACUGGGAAUCUUGAGUCCGGGAGAGGUGAGUGGAACUGCGAGUGUAGAGGUGAAAUUCGUAGAUAUUCGCAAGAACACCAGUGGCGAAGGCGGCUCACUGGCCCGGUACUGACGCUGAGACGCGAAAGCGUGGGGAGCGAACAGG
rnacentral:rRNA from 1 species